rnacentral:tRNA from 1 species
GUAGACGUUAGCUCAGUGGUUAGAGCACAGGGUCUCGAGUCCGCGAGUUCGAGUCCCGUCGUCUACU